UUACAUCUUUAUGUUAAAUCAAUCGUUCCUAGCGUCAGUGGCAAAAAGCUCGAUAAUGAUUGGUAAAGAUUUUAAGUUUGAAGUUUAGUUGUUUCACGUCUUAAACUAAGUUUAUUUCUGAAAAAAGUAAACGAAACAUGUGGUAUACUAUCCUUCUCUCUCUCACAAAAAAAAGAGUGACCACCUGUUCUGGGACUAUAUUUUGGUCAGAUACAUCCGUAUUUGUGCCGAAGGUUCAGAUGCAAGCGAAUCGGAUGCCGGGGAUGUACGGAGGCUAUGGACAGAUACAUCUAACAUACCCAAUGCCGCCACGAGAUCGAAAAGUUUAACUUGUUUGGCGGCAAUCUGGUGGGUCGUCUGGACUGAGCGCAACAACACUAUCUUCCGCGAGGUGCUUCCCAAUGCUACCCGGGCUCUUGAACGUGUCGCUUCUUUGACCAAUGCCUGGAACGGAGCCCUUUGACCCUUACUUGUCCCUUCUUCCAUGCUCGGUCCCCACUUCUUCCUUUUUGUUAUCCACCCCGCUUUUCUUGUUUAUUUUGUCUAAUCGGUAGGUGUAGAGUUCUUUAUUUUGGGUUUUCUUUCUUGUAUUUUUUCGGCUCUUUCAGGAGGCCCUAGCUGUCUCCAUCAAGUACGCUUAGUUCAUUUUGCUUAAUGAAUGAAGCAUGUAGCUUGCUACUUAUUUCUCAAAAAAAAAAAAAGAAAUAACGUUGCUUAUCUAAAAGCUUAAUCUGUCAGAAAAUUAUAGUUUUUUUAAAAUAUUUAUAUUCAACACUUUUUCUCAUG
rnacentral:lncRNA from 1 species